GACGAACGCUGGCGGCGUGCCUAAUACAUGCAAGUAGAACGCUGAAGGAGGAGCUUGCUUCUCUGGAUGAGUUGCGAACGGGUGAGUAACGCGUAGGUAACCUGCCUGGUAGCGGGGGAUAACUAUUGGAAACGAUAGCUAAUACCGCAUAAUAGCAGUUGUUGCAUGACAACUGUUUGAAAGGUGCAAUUGCACCACUACCAGAUGGACCUGCGUUGUAUUAGCUAGUUGGUGGGGUAACGGCUCACCAAGGCGACGAUACAUAGCCGACCUGAGAGGGUGAUCGGCCACACUGGGACUGAGACACGGCCCAGACUCCUACGGGAGGCAGCAGUAGGGAAUCUUCGGCAAUGGACGGAAGUCUGACCGAGCAACGCCGCGUGAGUGAAGAAGGUUUUCGGAUCGUAAAGCUCUGUUGUAAGAGAAGAACGAGUGUGAGAGUGGAAAGUUCACACUGUGACGGUAGCUUACCAGAAAGGGACGGCUAACUACGUG
rnacentral:rRNA from 1 species